AUUGAACGCUGGCGGCAGGCCUAACACAUGCAAGUCGAGCGGAGCGGCGGACGGGUGAGUAAUAGCUAGGAAUCUGCAUGGUCGUGGGGGAUAACGUUCGGUAACGGAAGCUAUUACUGCUAACUAUCAGAUGAGCCUAGGCCGGAUUAGCAAGUAGGUGAGGUAAUGGCUCACCAAGGCCACGAUCCGUAGCUGGUCUGAGAGGAUGAUCAGUAAGACUGGAACUGAGACACGGUCCAGACUCCUACGGGAGGCAGCAGGGGGGAAUAUUGGACAAUGGGCGAAAGCCUGAUCCAGCCAUGCCGCGUGUAUGAAGAAGGUCUUCGGGUUGUAAAGUACUUUAAGUUGGGAGGCGUUACCGGCAGAAGAAGCACCGGCUAACUCUGUGCCAGCAGCCGCGGUAAUUC
rnacentral:rRNA from 1 species